rnacentral:rRNA from 1 species
AAGCUCGUAGUUGAAUUUCGGGAUUAGUGCGCCGGUCGUGCCUUCGGUAUGUACUGGUGUUACUGGUUCCUACCUUCUGACGAACCGUCAUGUCAUUAAUUUGGUGUGGCGGGGAAUCAGGACUGUUACUUUGAAAAAAUUAGAGUGUUUAAAGCAGGCUCGCGCUUGAAUACAUUAGCAUGGAAUAAUGAAAUAGGACGUUCGAUCCUAUUUUGUUGGUUUCUAGGAUUGACGUAAUGAUUAAUAGGGAUAGUUGGGGGCAUUAGUAUUCAAUUGUCAGAGGUGAAAUUCUUGGAUUUAUUGAAGACUAACUACUGCGAAAGCAUUUGCCAAGGAUGUUUUCAUUAAUCAAGAACGAAAGUUAGGGGAUCGAAGACGAUCAGAUACCGUCGUAGUCUAAACCAUAAACUAUGCCGACUAGGGAUCGGAUGAUGUUAUUUUUAAUGACUCAUUCGGCGCCUUACGGGAAACCAAAGUGUUUGGGUUCCGGGGGGAGUAUGGUCGCAAGGCUGAAACUUAAAGGAAUUGACGGAAGGGCACCACCAGGGGUGGAGCCUGCGGCUUAAUUUGACUCAACACGGGGAAA